AUCCCUUACAAUAAUACACCAGGCCUUCCUUGCUGCUCUCUCACUAAUCCCUCCUCUUCGUUCUCUUUGAGAUUUGCCUGUCUGCAGAGGUCAUGAAUUCUGGACUCCUCUCUUGCUGCGGGUAGGCAGCUUUCCCCUGCAGGGUACCAGCUUCUGUUAUCCUGGCAUGCCAAGAAAAGAAGAAAUCAAUUCAGAGCCAGCUAUAAAGUUUCUGGGCCCAACUCAAGACACCAGAUUGAAAUGUUCGUAAAAUAAGAGACUCCUUUUUAUGAAUCACAGUUACUACUACAGUUAUGAACAUCAGCAAACACCCCAAAAACCUGCAGCCUGAAGCCAUGGUUUGAGGAACUGAGGAUCCUGUAAGAGGCGGACAGCAGGGAACUCUCCGCACACCAGGUCUUCACUGAUGCCCAAGUACAAUGUGUUUAUUCCAUUAAAGAAAACAAACUUAAGGAAGACAGUAAAUACCAGCAACAGCAGAAUAGGGAUUCUCUGAUGGGUCCAGACAGAUGUUUCUUUGUGCACAUUUAUAGGAAACCUACAAUUGCCUUUCUGUCCUUUCCAAACACCUAACUUAAAAAUCUCGUCCUUCAGGCUAUUAAAUGUGCUGGUACCAUCCUUACUAGGAUGUAUUCAUGCCAUUAUGAAGUUAAUGUGUUCUAACACUAACAGUACAUUAUUUAUCAAGGUGGAAAUGAAAUGGAGAGCAGAGGAAUGUGUCUAGAUAUGAAGUUCUCCAUCAUUCUUUGAAAGGAAGAUGUGUUUUUGGGUCCUCCUGUUUCUUUUAUGACUCAUAAUACAUGCAUCCAUGCAUGCACACUUUAUAACCAAUGCUAUAUGCAGCAUUUUAGGCAGGAAGACCACCAUGAACAAAGGCACUGAGGAGGGCUGAGUUCACUCUACGUUGAAGGUUAAGAUGCCUGGUGUGAAUGAAGCCAAACAUUUGUACUGAGUAGUCACAGGAAAUAAAGUCAAAGGGUAAGAUUUUGCCAGAUUUCAGAGGACAUCAAAAUCCAAAGAGAGUGCAAUUUUAUUUAACAGGCAGCAGACAGAUGGUACAGAUUCACAAUAACAUGAAACGGUUUAGAAUGUAAAAUCAUACCAUGGUAUAUGAUUGUGGUGUGGUUGUGGGGAGAAGGGAGGAUGAGAUAUACUAGUAAUUGUCUGGGAGGUUGCUGCCAGCAUCAAGCAUGCAGCAUCAAGCAUGAUAUCAGUGGGACUGAGGGAGAAAGUGCAAAUGUGGUAUCUUAAAGGGAGAAAUGUAGGUGGGAACUGUGAUAGCGUAGGUAUAAGGCAAAAAGGCAAGAAAAGGUUCCUGAUGCCGAGAUCCAACAGCACUCCAUUUAAGUAAGUUAUUAUCAGUUACUGUGCCCUUCUCUGGU